rnacentral:lncRNA from 1 species
UCACCAAGAACCUGUGGAGCAGAAUCUGCUCAAGGUAUUUAGCCAUCUUUUCUUUGACUGCCCUGUCACCAAGAACCUGUGGAGCAGAAUCUACUCCUGGCUAGGAUACCAUAGAAAUAUGGGAAACUGGGAGACAGAAAUGAUGUGGGUCUGCAGCAAGGCAAGAAGCAGAGUGGCACUAAACAAUAUCACAGCCUGUGCCUUCAUAACCACUGUGGCUCUUAUCUGGCGAGAAAGGAACAACAUCAGAUUUAACAGGUCAACUUUUGAUGCAACUCUACUGUGCAGAGAAAUAGCCUUAUCAAUCCAUAUCCGAGGCCGAGAC